rnacentral:misc_RNA from 1 species
GAACGCAACUUGCGCUCUCUGGUAUUCCGGAGAGCAUGCCUGUUUGAGUGUCAUGAAAUCUCAACCAUUAGGGUUUCUUAAUGGCUUGGAUUUGGAGGUUGCCAUUCUAAAUGGCUCCUCUUAAAGGAGUUAGCAGGUUUUACUAUUGCUAUCUGGCGUAAUAAGUUUCGCUGGAAUGGUAUUGUGAAGCGUGCUUCUAAUCGUCUUCGGACAAUUACUUUGACUCUGGCCUCAAAUCAGGUAGGACUACCCGCUGAACUUA